rnacentral:rRNA from 1 species
GUGCCAGCAGCGGCGGUAAUACGUAGGGAGCAAGCGUUGUCCGGAUUUACUGGGUGUAAAGGGUGCGUAGGCGGCUCUGCAAGUCAGGCGUGAAAUAUAUGGGCUUAACCCAUAGACUGCGUUUGAAACUGUGGAGCUUGAGUGAAGUAGAGGUAGGCGGAAUUCCCGGUGUAGCGGUGAAAUGCGUAGAGAUCGGGAGGAACACCAGUGGCGAAGGCGGCUUACGUGGGCUUUAACUGACGCUGAGGCACGAAAGC